UUCACUGAAACAAGGGGAAGGCUCACAUAGAGGCAGCAGUAGAGAAUCUUGUGCAAUGCACGAAAGUAUGACACAGAGAGGACACAUUUAAUUGAGCCUGUCAAAUUAAGUGCCAGCCGACGCGGUUAGACUUAAGGGCUGGUCUUUAUAAGUAAAAAGGCGUAAAGGAUGUGUAGGCCAAGAAAUUAUCCAAGAAGGUAAAUGGAAUUUUUCUGGAGCGGUAGAAUGUGAGGAUAGAAAAUAGAACACCUAAGGUUAAAACUAUUUACCACAAAAUAGGCUGAAACAUGAAAGUGUGGGGAGCAAACAGGAUUAGAGACCCUGGUAGUCCACUCUGUGAACUUUGAAGAUGAUGCUUAGCAGAGCCGAAAGGUAAAAUCUUCCGCCUGAGUAGUACGAUCGCAAGAUUAAAAUUCAAAAACUUUGGCUGUUCACUAUUUCGAUUAGAGGAGCGUGUAGUUUAAUUCGAUGGUCCGCGUGUUACCUUACCCCAGCUUGAAUCUAUGACCGGUAUUGCAUGGCCGUCGUAAGUCCGUGUGUUAAACUAGAAGGGACCCAAUCCGGGCGUUUGCCCGAAGGAAGUCAGGUCUUAUGAUCCGAAUGUUGGGGGAUUUUAUGCGCUACAUUUUCUUAUAUAAUGAGAGACUUGAAAGGUAAGCCUCUAAAGUAAGAGUUCGGAAGGUCGCUGUAAAACGACUGGAAGUUGGAUUUAAUAGUAAUCGGAAAGUAGGGCGUUCCGGUGAAUUGGUACAAGUGUUAGCACAAAUUGCCCGUCACCUUUACCUAGAAUGGUUAUUCGGACGCCUUUGGGGGUACGAAUGCCUACGAGGUAAAGCAAGUCGUAACAU
rnacentral:rRNA from 1 species